CAGUCAGGAUAGCUCAGUUGGUAGAGCAUGAAACUUUUAAAUCUCAGGGUUUAGGUACAAGCCCCAUAUUGGGUGA